GGGGAUGCGUUCCAUUAGGUUGUUGGCGGGGUAACGGCCCACCAAGCCUUCGAUGGAUAGGGGUUCUGAGAGGAAGGUCCCCCACAUUGGAACUGAGACACGGUCCAAACUCCUACGGGAGGCAGCAGUGAGGAAUAUUGGUCAAUGGACGAGAGUCUGAACCAGCCAAGUAGCGUGAAGGAUGACUGCCCUAUGGGUUGUAAACUUCUUUUAUACGGGAAUAAAGUGAGGCACGUGUGCCUUUUUGUAUGUACCGUAUGAAUAAGGAUCGGCUAACUCCGUGCCAGCAGCCGCGGUAAUACGGAGGAUCCGAGCGUUAUCCGGAUUUAUUGGGUUUAAAGGGAGCGUAGGCGGACGCUUAAGUCAGUUGUGAAAGUUUGCGGCUCAACCGUAAAAUUGCAGUUGAUACUGGGUGUCUUGAGUACAGUAGAGGCAGGCGGAAUUCGUGGUGUAGCGGUGAAAUGCUUAGAUAUCACGAAGAACUCCGAUUGCGAAGGCAGCUUGCUGGACUGUAACUGACGCUGAUGCUCGAAAGUGUGGGUAUCAAACAGGAUUAGAUACCCUGGUAGUCCACACAGUAAACGAUGAAUACUCGCUGUUUGCGAUAUACAGUAAGCGGCCAAGCGAAAGCGUUAAGUAUUCCACCUGGGGAGUAC
rnacentral:rRNA from 1 species